rnacentral:rRNA from 1 species
GAGCGGUAACAGAAAGUAGCUUGCUACUUUGCUGACGAGCGGCGGACGGGUGAGUAAUGCUUGGGAACAUGCCUUGAGGUGGGGGACAACAGUUGGAAACGACUGCUAAUACCGCAUAAUGUCUACGGACCAAAGGGGGCUUCGGCUCUCGCCUUUAGAUUGGCCCAAGUGGGAUUAGCUAGUUGGUGAGGUAAUGGCUCACCAAGGCGACGAUCCCUAGCUGGUUUGAGAGGAUGAUCAGCCACACUGGGACUGAGACACGGCCCAGACUCCUACGGGAGGCAGCAGUGGGGAAUAUUGCACAAUGGGCGCAAGCCUGAUGCAGCCAUGCCGCGUGUGUGAAGAAGGCCUUCGGGUUGUAAAGCACUUUCAGUCAGGAGGAAAGGUUAACGGUUAAUACCCGUUAGCUGUGACGUUACUGACAGAAGAAGCACCGGCUAACUCCGUGCCAGCAGCCGCGGUAAUACGGAGGGUGCGAGCGUUAAUCGGAAUUACUGGGCGUAAAGCGUACGCAGGCGGUUUGUUAAGCGAGAUGUGAAAGCCCCGGGCUCAACCUGGGAACUGCAUUUCGAACUGGCAAACUAGAGUGUGAUAGAGGGUGGUAGAAUUUCAGGUGUAGCGGUGAAAUGCGUAGAGAUCUGAAGGAAUACCGAUGGCGAAGGCAGCCACCUGGGUCAACACUGACGCUCAUGUACGAAAGCGUGGGGAGCAAACGGGAUU